CAGCCGCCGCGGGAAUACGAAGGGGGCUAGCGUUGCUCGGAAUUACUGGGCGUAAAGGGCGCGUAGGCGGACAGUUCAGUCGGGGGUGAAAGCCCGGGGCUCAACCUCGGAAUUGCCUUCGAUACUGGCUGUCUUGAGUAUGAGAGAGGUGUGUGGAACUCCGAGUGUAGAGGUGAAAUUCGUAGAUAUUCGGAAGAACACCAGUGGCGAAGGCGACACACUGGCUCAUUACUGACGCUGAGGCGCGAAAGCGUGGGGAGCAAACAGGAUUAGAUACCCCCGUAGUCCCUGUCUCUUAUAC
rnacentral:rRNA from 1 species